GAUGAAGAACGUAGUGAAAUGCGAUAAGUAAUGUGAAUUGCAGAAUUCAGUGAAUCAUCGAAUCUUUGAACGCACCUUGCGCCCUUUGGCAUUCCGAAGGGCAUGCCUGUUUGAGUAUCAUGAACACCUCAACUCUUCAUGGUUUUCCAUGAUGAGCUUGGACUUUGGGGGUCUUGCUGGCCUGCGGUCGGCUCCUCUCAAAUGAAUCAGCUUACCAGUGUUUGGUGGGCAUCACAGGUGUGAUAACUAUCUGCGCUUGUGGUUUUCCACCAAGUAACCUUCAGCAGUGGAGGUUCACUGGAGCUCACAGACGUCGCUCCUCAGUGAGGACAGCCCUUUGAAUGUUUGAUCUCAAAUCAGGUAGGACUACCCGCUGAACUUAAGCAUAUCAAUAAGCGGAGGA
rnacentral:misc_RNA from 1 species